GCCCGAGUUACCUUUCAGACUUACUCUUUUAAUUGUACUGCAUCUUUAUUAAAUUGGAUUGAGAUAAUUCGGUUCAAAAUAUCUCUCCAUUACAGAAAUGAAGAGUGUAGUUAUGCGGAGGUCGGGGUUUUAAUCUCUUGCAGUUGUAUCGCUUGAUGCGACGUUGAGUCAAUAAAAGUGGUAGUUUUCAAGUCUGUACUCUACAUUUUUUUUUUGCUUUCUUUAUCGUUGUGAUGGACUGUGGUCAUAUGAUGUGAAAUAGAUAUGGGGGAACGACCUGUACUGCUGUACAUGCUUGUCGGGAGCUUAAUUGGCGCGAGGGGCUGUAGUUCCAGGUCUUCAGCGAAUUAAUUACCACCCUAUCCUGCUUUAAAAAAAAAUACCACCCUCCCCUUGGGAAAAAAACAUACUGCUCUAACCUCUAAAUUCAGCAAGAUCACGAAACCAUGAGCAACCAUGCCAUAUAUGCAGCAAAUUAAUGGCCCAGUCAUCUCCACAUCAACACAAUUAGGUGGCGUUUGUCCAUUUGUACUAGAACAAUUAAUGUGCAGUGUUUGACAUUUCGUUCAUAGCAUCCAUAUGAUACAUGGGUCUAAUUACCGCCAGGUCAUUGAAGCA
rnacentral:lncRNA from 1 species